rnacentral:rRNA from 1 species
GUGCCAGCAGCCGCGGUAAUACGUAGGGGGCAAGCGUUGUCCGGAAUUAUUGGGCGUAAAGCGCGCGCAGGCGGUGAUUUAAGUUUGGUGUUUAAUCCCGGGGCUCAACCCCGGGUCGCACUGAAAACUGGGUCACUUGAGUGCGGGAGAGGAAAGUGGAAUUCCACGUGUAGCGGUGAAAUGCGUAGAGAUGUGGAGGAACACCAGUGGCGAAGGCGACUUUCUGGACCGUAACUGACGCUGAGGCGCGAAAGCGUGGGGAGCAAACAGGAUUAGAUACCCUGGUAGUCC